GAUGAACGCUAGCUACAGGCUUAACACAUGCCAGUCGAGGGGAAACGACAUCGAAAGCUUGCUUUUGAUGGGCGUCGACCGGCGCACGGGUGAGUAACGCGUAUCCAACCUGCCCAUCACUUGGGAAUAACCUUGCGAAAGUAAGACUAAUACCCAAUGACAUCCCACGAAGACAUCUGAAUGGGAUUAAAGAUUUAUCGGUGAUGGAUGGGGAUGCGUCUGAUUAGCUUGUUGGCGGGGUAACGGCCCACCAAGGCAACGAUCAGUAGGGGUUCUGAGAGGAAGGUCCCCCACAUUGGAACUGAGACACGGUCCAAACUCCUACGGGAGGCAGCAGUGAGGAAUAUUGGUCAAUGGGCGAGAGCCUGAACCAGCCAAGUAGCGUGCAGGAUGACGGCCCUAUGGGUUGUAAACUGCUUUUAUAAGGGAAUAAAGUGGGUCUCGUGAGACUUUUUGCAUGUACCUUAUGAAUAAGGACCGGCUAAUUCCGU
rnacentral:rRNA from 1 species